rnacentral:lncRNA from 1 species
AAGUCCUGCCCUUUAUUAACUUGUACUAUGGUUGUUCUAUUUUAUGGGGUUUGAAGAUGAUCCAGGAGAUCACUCGCAAAUCCUCGUCAACCCCUUUGAUGAGGGGAUUAAAGGAACAAAGCCUUAUUUAGAGAAAAGACAUAAUUUUUUUGUGAAUAUAGAAAAAGACAUAAUAACAGAUGAAAAUUAUAUACACGGGCAUGAUCACGUAUCCAAGAAUAUGCGGCUGUGUAUUACAUUAUUAAUCCCCCCAACGAAUUUUGUGUCGAUCCGAUGGAGCUACGACGACGGGCUCAGGGGCAGACCUUCCUGCACUCCUCCGCGGUGUCCCAGCAAGGGUUAUUGGGCAGCGUUGCACAGCAGUAGCAUUUGUGGCCAAACACACUAUCAGUGCAUAAACUCUUGUGGCACAGUACCCCUGGAUUAAGCUUGAUGCCGCCCACGUCUUCAGCCAGGUCACGACCACCUGAUCUCGCAACACCCAGAAAGGAGUAUAACGCAUCAGAUAAACUUCAAAGGGAUACAUGCUAAGGAUCUGAGGAGAUACAUAUAUACGAACAUGCGAUGGCUAAUCGUGUGUAUACAUACAGUGCGCGGUGUACGCGUAGCAUCCGAGAAGCAUGAGGAGUAGAAUCGCGACUGCUUUCGCAUUCAUCUGGCCGCCGUUGCACACCACGGUUACCUAGAUUUUUCUUUUCGAUGGAUGCUUAGCUAGAUCUGAUGUGGUGCUCGACCCGAGCCCUUG